rnacentral:lncRNA from 1 species
GGGUAGUCAUCAAGUUCGUCCCAAUUACUGGUGAUCACUAGGGUCUAUUUCUUUUGCAGAUAUAAUUGUCAAAAAUCUCAAGUUCUCAUAUUUCAGUUUUUAGGUAUAUGAACUAGGACGAAAUACAGUUUCUUUUCCCACAGCUCAUUAAAUUCUGCAAUAAAACAACGAAGUUGAGUUCAGAACCUUGUAUCUGAGGGUGGAUUAGUCAAUUCGAGUACCACUGACUCACACAUGGUAGUUGCUAUAGUAGGAGGCCUACAAUAACAUUAUGCAUAGUUUUAAAUUCCAUAUUGGGGUAUAUAUGCAUGCUGUAAUACAAGAAAAUCAUCUAUUUUGUUACUAUCAUUUCUUUAAUUUCAUUUUUUUUUUUCCAAUCUACACAUGAAAAUUUUAUAUUCUAGAUCAAAUUAUAUAUAAAAUUCAAUAAUCAAGUACAAAAUAUCCAAUGUCGACAUGGAAAAUAUAUUUAAUGCCAAAUAAUUAAAAACUUCAAUUUUAUCUCAAUUUUAUUGUUUGAUACUUGGAAACCUUUACAUAACUUUCUAAGCAAUGAUCCACUGCUCUUACUAGUUACCCAUCGAUUCAAACAGUGACCUGUGACCUUGACCUGUUCAAUGUCUGAUUUGGGUCUGAAAACUAAGUGAAACACAGGAAGAAAGUCUUGGAUUUCGAUGUUUCAUUAAAAAUAUGGGAUUUGCAGGUGAUCAUUUAGUUCCUUUGAACUUCCCAAUGAACUGAGCCCAUAGAGGAUCAUGUGUUCUACAUCCUUUGCUUUGUCUAGAUAACAAAUCAAAGCCCUAUUAGUUGUAGCCAAAAAUAACCACAUACACACACAUUCAUGUGUAAAUGCAUGAUUUUUUUCAAGAAAUGCUUAGUAGGUGUCGAUAUGGUUGUUAUUGUGGCAUGACCAGAAUGGGGCUACACGUUUGCCACUAUGCUCUGUAGAAGGGGUUGCUAGGACUGCCAUUGAAAGAAAAGGAAAUAAAAUAACAAAAACACUAAGGGGUCACCUUAACUAUUAUAGUUUGUUAAAACCAGAUGAUAUGUUGCAUAUUUUCUUGGAUAAGCUGGGCAUGAAACUGCAUCCUGUUAAAUAUUGCAAUGUUUUGGUUGUUUGAUAUAGAGCUUGUCCUUGUUUGUCUUUCAUCAUUGUGAUGCAAAUUGGAAAGUAUAUUCUAGGCAUAAACAGAAUCAAAUCAAUUAAGGAUUGAAUUUUCAUUAUUGCAUUUUAUUGUUUUUCGUAGAAUAGUAAAUUUGUCUCCUUGUAAAAGGAAAUUCAAGUUCUCCUUUUCAUUUUUAAUUAGGACCUAUAAAUUGAGGUUUUUUGGUUGUAAGAAGACAGACCUGAAUAUUGAAUAAACCUACAAUCUUUCCCUCAUUUCUCUCGUCCUACUUCUUUCUCCUUCUUUAUUGCUCUCGUUCAUUGCCAUCGGCAUCACAUUGUUUCUAACUUAUGCAGAUGUGAGUUCAGAAUACAAGUGGAGAGUAUGAACUUUCUUGCUGUGCAAAUGAAAAGCUCAAUUUUUAUCAACAUCCCCUGGGAUUAUAUCAUAAAAAAAUGUAGAUUGUAAGGCAUAUUUCUUGUCCUUGAUGAUAUACUUGUUACCCUUUUGUCGUGUUAUCAGGACUCUCGUCUAAGUUUUCGUUGAGGUAUACUCAGCAGAAUAUUAAGAGUUAAACCCUGGAUUUAAUGUCUAGGACCUAACUUGUAUACAUACCAAACCAAACUGAUAUAACCUAAAUUGUAAUUCUAUUAUGUUGGUGAUUAACUCAGUGUAAGUGUCUGGUAUGCAGGAACAUGACUACCGACAAUUUGAAUACUCCUUGAAGAAGAAUGGUAAGCGUGAGAAGAACAACAAAGUGGAAAGGGUGACAAUAAAUAGAUGCGGGUGGGAGUCAAGGACUGGUGAGUUGAAAUAUUUAAAUGCGACGACUGAGAUCUAGUAAAUUAUUUUUCGUGUUCAACUAAGAUACACACCUAGGGCAUGAUGUGCAAUUGGCAAUUUAAUUUGAUAGCAUUGAGGAUAGAGGCAUGUUGUUUUCUAGUCGAGUAUAACUAACAUUUUUUCGACUGAUUGCAGGUGGAUCAAGACCGAAUAUUCGUACCUAGACCAGCCAACCAUAAACACGGCAGAUAAUCCUAGGGUAUGAUAUUCCUAUACUCCAAAUCUUAUGUGACGAGUCCAAUCCCCAACAAGAUCCAACAGAUGUAUUUGUUUGAUAUUUAAUUUUGAUACGAAUUGGACAUGAUUCGAUACGCUUUCAACAUGUUUCUGGCAUAUAAAUGUCUUUCUAAUAUACCAUGUGAUGUGCCUUGUAUGUUUAAUUUUUGACACAGAAAUUGUGUCUAUACAUCGUUUACAUUUUUCUUCCUCAUUUCUAAUGGAAUUAAGCUUUGUUGUUAGAUGAAUUUGGCAUUUUUAUUGAUAGAAGAUGUGUAAAAAAAUGAUUGGAUGACAUUGUUGACUAUUUUUUAAAUGGUCGAAUAAAAUUCUACUACGUGGCCUUUUGG